rnacentral:sRNA from 1 species
AAUAGAGGAACUCAGUCUAAGAACGCCACGUCUUGUGGCAUUAUCAAAAUGACCGACACCGUGUCGG